rnacentral:lncRNA from 1 species
GAGGAGGAGGCGGGAGAGAGUGUGGAGGACAUUUUCUCAGAGGUCGUGGGCCGGAAGCGGCAGCGGUCAGGACCCAACAGGGGAGCCAAGAGGCGGAGGGAGGAGGCCCGGCAGCGGGACCAGGAAUUCUACAUCCCCUACCGGCCCAAGGACUUUGACAGCGAGCGGGGCCUGAGCAUCAGCGGGGAAGGGGGAGCCUUUGAGCAGCAGGCAGCUGGCGCUGUCCUGGACUUGAUGGGGGAUGAAGCCCAGAACCUGACGAGGGGCCGGCAGCAGCUCAAGUGGUGAGUGAUCGAGUGAGCCGCCCCUCCAUGCUCGGGGUGAGUGACCGAGUGAGCUGCUCCUCCGUGCCUGGGGUGAGUGAUCGAGUGAGCCGCCCCUCCCUCCAUGCCCGGGGUGAGUGAGUGAGUGAGCCGCCCCUCCAUGCCCGGGGUGAGUGAUCGAGUGAGCUGCCCCUCCAGGCCCAGGGUGAGUGAGAGAGUGAGCUGCCCCUCCAUG